rnacentral:rRNA from 1 species
GUCUCGUGACUGCGUGCCUUUUGAAGAAUGAGCCUGCGAGUUAGCGGUGUGUAGCGAGGUUAACCCGUGUGGGGAAGCCGUAGCGAAAGCGAGUCCGAAGAGGGCGUUUGAGUUGCACGCUCUAGACCCGAAGCGGAGUGAUCUAGCCAUGGGCAGGUUGAAGCGGAGGUAAGACUUCGUGGAGGACCGAACCCACCAGGGUUGAAAACCUGGGGGAUGACCUGUGGUUAGGGGUGAAAGGCCAAUCAAACUCCGUGAUAGCUGGUUCUCCCCGAAAUGCAUUUAGGUGCAGCGUCGUGUGUUUCUUGCCGGAGGUAGAGCACUGGAUAGGCGAUGGGCCCUACCGGGUUACUGACCUUAGCCAAACUCCGAAUGCCGGUAAGUGAGAGCGCGGCAGUGAGACUGUGGGGGAUAAGCUCCAUGGUCGAGAGGGAAACAGCCCAGAGCAUCGACUAAGGCCCCUAAGCGUACGCUAAGUGGGAAAGGAUGUGGAGUCGCAGAGACAACCAGGAGGUUGGCUUAGAAGCAGCCACCCUUGAAAGAGUGCGUAAUAGCUCACUGGUCAAGUGAUUCCGCGCCGACAAUGUAGCGGGGCUCAAGCGUACCGCCGAAGUCGUGUCAUUGC